GAGCUCUUGCCAGAAGCAGGAGCUUGCUUUUCCGGACCGGAGCGAAUCGGAGCCCUGCUUUUCGAGGGGCCCAGCCAAGGAGUCUUGCCUCCUCGGGGCUUCAGCAGUCUGGCUGGUUUGGGGCAAAGUUUCCCGGGCAAAAAACAAGGCCGGUGAGUUAUGUGGGCAAAGAAGCCUCAUGAGGCCUCGCCUCCUCGUAAGGCCUUCCAGGAGACUUCACCAGGAAGGCGUUUGGUGGUUCGGGGAGCAGAGAAGCGGCAUUUCUCUGCUCCGCAAACCCCAAAUGCCUUCGUUCUCACUCCCCAAUCUGCCAAACGCCUUCUUAGCGAAGCCUCCAGGACAGCCUCGCAAGGCCUCUUCGCCCCCAUAACUCAAGCUGCCUCCUCCUCCUCCUCCUCCUGCACUUGCUGCAGGGAAACUCAGCCUUCGGCUUCUCCCCUUGGGCUGCUGCUGCAUCUGCCAUCGCAGGGAAGGACCUUUGCCAAUGGCCAGCCUGCCGGUUGUAGACCUGGCUAGGGCCCCACGGGUCCGGAGCCAGCCAUGGCCAAAGCUGGGCAAUGGAUCCAGGAAGGCAAGGGGCACGCAGGUCAGCUGCACUAGCUUCCUGUUCUCGCUGUGUUCCUGUUCUUGCCGCUGACCUGCACACCCCCACCUCCUCCCAGGCCUGCAACCUCUCACCAGCCUCACCGGCCUUGGUGGCCUCUUGCCUGGCCACAAUGCCUGCCCACAAUGCCUGCUUCCCCACCACCUUCGCCUUCGUCUUCCCCUUCCUCCCUGAAGGUGAAACGGCAGCACUGGACCAUGGUGCACUUCUCCGUCCUCUCCAAAAAAGGCAGUCUCAAGCCUGCUGCACUGGAGCUGGCUGAGAACACCCCCAACGCCCGCUACGUGCCUUUCUUGCUCUCGGCGCCCAGCAGGGGAGGAGGUGAAGAGGCGGCGGUGGCACAGGUGGUGAUGAACACUGACUUCCCGCACCCCUUGCUCAACCUGGACCCACACGUCUCCAUCUACAGCACCCGGCGCCCACUCCUCAGCCGUAGCCACAUCCAAGGGUGGGUCUACAACUUCCUCAAGAGACUCACCGGGUGGAAGUGCUUCGUCUACCACUUGUGACACCCCUGGCUGCGAGAGCACUGGAAAACAAUACACUGAGGCCAAUAAACAAUCUAAUAUCUUUAUUAAAGAAUUAAAGAAAUAAAACAAAAACAAGCAGAAGGUAAAGUUCAUCAAUAGACCUUUUAGGAAAGGUAAAUAUAGUCCAGUAAUAUAUUGUCCAAUGUCCAAUAUUAGAGUUUAAAGUUUGAAAUCCACAAAACUGAAACGCACUCAAACUUCCAAGCAGUUUGAGUGGGGAAAACAUCCAAGUCUUUUGCUAGAGUUCCAAAGCAAGUCCAAGGCAAGGAAUUGAAGACAAGACUGGAUUCACGGCACGACAAGGCAAGGCUGAAAUCACGGCAAGGCAAGGCAAGGAAACACGGCUAGGCAAGGCACGGCUAGGCUGGAAGGUAGUGGAUCCAAACGUGGUCCACACUUGGCUGGAAGUGAAGUUGAUCCUUCAACUGACACGUUGACUCCACGCUGGCUAGCCAGCGCACAGAACUUUUAAGGAACUUCAAAUCUUUCCACAGAGCAGGUGUCCAAAUGAACAACAUCUUCAACCAGAUGCGAUCCUCCCUGAGAAUUCUCAGGGGAAAACAGGUUAAUCAGCAGAUUCUCUAGCUGCUAAUCGCGUGCUCCUUCUUCUGCCAGCUUUCUCAAACCUACUAGUUUUCCAAAACAUCAGUCUAUCAAAGGGAGGGGAACUGGUGGGAGAAGGCUCCGUUUCAAGGGCCUUUUUAAUGAGCUGUGGGCUAGAAUUGUCAAUAGGAAGCAUCUGGAAAGGGGCAGAAUCUUGCUGAAUCGGCACAAAGCCCAUUUCCUCGUCACUUUGGUCCAUAAUGGAGGCAGGAUCAUGGCCCAAGGGUUCAGGGGACAUCACACCACUUCACCGUGUGUGUCAGCAGGGAAAAGGGGGUGGGGAGCCCUUUGGAGUCAGAAUAGGAAGGAUGUUGUGAGGUCUGUUGGAAGCUAGGUAAGUGGGGUUUAUAUAUCUGUGCAAAGUCCAGGGUUGAGAAAGAGCUCUUGUCUGUUUGAGGCUAGUGUGAAUAUUGCAAUUGGCCAGCUUGAUUAGCAUUUAAUGGCCUUGCAGAUUCAAAGCCUGGCUGCUUCCUCCCUGGGGGCAUCCUUGGUUGGGAGGUGUUAGCUGGCUCUGAUUGUUUCCUGUCUGAAUUUCCCCUGUUUUCAGAGUGUUGUUCUUUAUUUACUGUCUUGAUUUUAGAGUUUUUUUUUUAAUACCGGGGGCCAGAUUCCCUUUCGGUGUCCUUUUAAUUCCUAUGGAUUCCUAAGGACCCUUAGGGCUCUUCCACACAGCCAUAUAAUCCAGAAUAUCAAAACAGAAUAACUCACAAUAUCUGCUUUGAACUGGGUUAUCUGAGUCCACACUGCCCUAUAUCCCAGUUCAAUGUUUGGUGUUAAAUUCGCAAAAAUAGUAAUUCCUACAUAACAUUACCAUGUAUUGAACUGCUUUUUCUGUUGAUUUAUUGUAAAACAUGAUGUUUUGGUGCUUAAUUUGUAAAAUCAUAAUGUAAUUUGAUGUUUAAUAGGCUUUUCCUUAAUCCCUCCUUAUUAUCCAACAUUUUUGCUUAUCCAAUGCUUUUAUUUUUCAGUGAUUGUUUUUUUUUGGGGGGGGGGACCAAAAUUCUGUUUGCUUACACUUUAAAAUUACCUAGGGCCGGCCCUGCCCGUUACUGUGGGUAUUGACCAUAAGGUGCAGUCCUUCCCCCAUGUGAUUCUGUCCUAUUCUGUAUGGAUUCCUUAUGCAGCAAAGGCUAAGACUGGUAGUGCUUCCUUCCAUUACCUGUUCAUUUAAAAAUGGGUGAGAUGAUAUAUAACAAUGUCCAUGUGUGCUGAGAUGCUCUUUGCACUGCUGACAGCUAUAAGAAAAUACAGAAGAAGAGGUUUCUAAGGAGCAGGCAUAACAUGGACAAGAUCUUAGUUCAUAUUAAGAUUUUUUUUCUUUUUCACUAUAUCGCAGAUUUGAACAUUAUUGCCACUUGACCUUGAGACAGUAGGUGCUUUGUUGCUCAACAUUUCUUAGUUAAGAGGCAUUGGCUUCUUCAGUCCAUUUCCCUGUCCUGAUGUCAUUUCAUAAACGAUAGAGGCAUGUCCUCUAUGUACUGUAACUACAGUCAAGGUGGAGAACUACUCUGUUGAAGUUCUUCAUCAGCUGUACCAGAUAUUAAUUGCUCAGAUUCAUGGUCGGGUGAAGUUAUCAUCAUCUGGAACCAGAAAGCUUUGUAAAGAAUCUGAUUUUUUCCAUCAGACUCUUCAGAUUCUAUGAAGUAAGUUAUUAUAACAUGGCUGAAUAGGCAAGUAUUCCGACCCAGACCUUUAAGAAUCAAGCAUUCAAAGAGAGCCGGUGUAGAAUAGUGGUUUGAGCAUUGGAGACUAGGAUAGCCAAUGGCCAUGGAAACCCUCUGGGUGACUUUGAGCCACAUUCACUCAGCCCCAGAAAACCCUUGCCCAUUUGUCUGUUCUGUUUCCCUCCUCUCCGCUGGUGCAUGUUUUUCUAUUCUCUCAUUUGUUUAAUGGACCAUUCAUGGCAAAACUCUACCACUGCCCGAGUAUGAUAUCAGAUAUGAACUUAUUUACCUGAAAGUUUGUAGACCAGUGGUUUUCAACAUUUUGUAUCUUACAUUUUUCUAAUCACUGUAUCAGAGUACCUUGGUCACAUAAUGUAAAACAAAGCAAAACUAACUAACCAACAACAAAAAAACAACACCUUUAUGAGGAGGACUUUUAUAUGCUUGCAGUAUUCUGCUUUUAUAUUUCCUAUUUAUGAUACAUAACUCCUACAGCAGUAGUGAUGAGGGCAAGUACACACAAAAAUAUAAUCUCAUUAAUAUUUGGAAAUUGUAGCAAUCAUUUUAAACUAUUACCAAUCACUAUAAAAACCUUCUGUCCCAUAUAGACAACUUCCACACCAUACAACUCUUCUACAGGCCACCAACUGAGCACCAUUUUUGGACCCAGUUUACAACAUGCGUAUCAUCUGCUCAGCUAAGAAAUUGAGGGACCUUUGAAACUGUAAGAUGAAAAGUUAACUUUAAUGCUGAAAUUUAGGGAACAGAUCUGUAAGAACUAAUUAGAAAGUGAAAUUAGUCUCCCAGUGAUAUGCAGAUGUCUCCCUCAAACUGUUUAGAAUUGCCAUAAAUAUCUAUAUCUUGUGCGAAGACUUUUUGGAGGAUUGAUGCUACAUUCUUAGGUCAUAUUAAGUUUAAAAGUUACAAUCAUUUUCUGUUACAAAGGUGUUUUGUUCCAGUGAGCUUUUGAAAUCCAGGUAGUGAGACAUGCUUGUAUUCUCAAUGAUGUUUAAAGCUAAUUUUGCACAAAAAGUUGUAUUUAGCAUUUGGAAAGAAAGUGAAGUAACAAGGUUACAAUUCUGCUCUUUGUGGUAUGCUCAAUUGGUAGGGAAAGAACUGUCUGUAAACAUAGGUCAAAAUUAUAUUUUAUUUUCAGUUCAGCUCUAGGUUACAUUGGACCUUCCUUCUCCAAGGUAUCAUUUGUAAAGUUGCCAAACAGAAUUAAUGAAUGCAGUAAACAAAAUGACUCUUGCCAAACACCCAAAAACCCUAAAGUAUUGGUCAUAGACAAGAAGAUCUGUAAUGCAUAUGAGUAUGUGGUUUAGGCCCAGGUCAGUGGGAAAGAACAGCCAUAUUGUCCAAUUCAUUUUAAAAUGAAUAAACUGUGUAGCCUAUUGUGAACCUUUGAAAAAAAUAGACACUCUGAGCAAAUAUUACCUGAAACAGGCAGCUAUUAAAAACAAUGGACAUCAACUUGCCCAAGAUUCGAAGUAUUCCUCCUUCUAAUUAAACCAUAGGAAAAAUAAUUAGGUAGCAAUAAUCUUGUUAACGUGUAGCAAUAGCCAUGUAAAUUAUUACCACUGAUAUAAGAUUUAAAAAUAUAUUGUUUGUCAUUGUCUUCUCUGGCAGGAUGCUUUUGAUGGAAGCAGUUGUAUAAAAAUGCCAGAUUGUUUUGUACAAUCAAAAACAAAGUUGAGAAGGAACUUAAAUAACAAAGUAAUAGUUUAGCCCAGGAACAGGCAAGGGACGAAUGAAAGGGCAAUUUUUGCCACAGUGCCUUCCUCCCUUGGGCACCUCAUUGUCCUUGCACUUUACUUGUUGUGUAGUUUGACCAACUUGCUAAAAAUUGGUAAACGUUUUCGCAAUCCAUAUAUCAGAACAUUGCAGCUUUAUCAAAGUAAGCCAACGAAAACUGUAUAGCUUGUACGUAUAGGCCUUGAGUAAUGGCUAAAAAGCCCAAUUAACAAUGGCACAUUGCUUGAAUAACUUUUCUUCCACGUCCAGCAUCACAUUUAAAUAAGAUGUUACUUUGACCCCAAUAAAGGAGAAGUAGGCAGAUCUCAGGUUUGUGGAACUAACUUGGUGGCCAUGGUGCAACUGUUUUUAUUGUUAUUGCUUUUCCUGUUUCUUGUUCAUUUUGGUUUAUUUUAGAAACUUCAAGAUCUAGUACACUGAUUAUACAUUUCAAAUUAAAUAUUUCUGAUUCCAAUAAUUAAACCAAGGAACCUACAUUUCCUCCAGUUUAGUAGCAUAACUAAAGGUGGAGAGGGCAAUCCCUGCCAAACUCACUCUGAUACUAUGAUUGGAGCAGGUUGUAAUCCCUUUUUGGUUGUUUAGAAGAUGGAAUCUCAACAGGUAUUGUUUGUCACCAAAUAAAACCAACAUCUGCUGAAAUUUCCUCUUUCACACAAUGAUUAAAGUUACAGGUGUCUUCCCUAGUUUUCUCUAGCAACACAAUCUGAGAUCCUGAAGUCCAACAGUGGUUUGGAAGAGAAAACGAAAUACAGACCUGACACCUCUCUUUGAUACAGUCUCUGAGAACUGACAUUCCAGAAGUAGAGAGUCCUGAGACAACAAGACCUAACACCUUGCCUACCUACAGAGGCCACUUCUCCCUUAAAGUGUAUCCAACUGGUGUUCCAGUAAUCUUGCAGUAUGGAUUUCUUCUCCAGCCAAGACCCUUGCCUUGUGUUCCAAUAUUGAUCCUGUGCCUCGGACUAAUCUUGGAGUCAUGCCUCUUGUGUUACAGUCUGAUUCUGUGUAUUCCAGCCUUACCUUCUGCGUUCCAGUUUGAUACUGUGCCUUGGACUAAUCCUUGAUAUCUUGCCUGGACUAUCUUGAUACCUCUAAUGGGACUAACUUUGAUAUCCUGUUUGGACUCUGUUCUUUCAGUGACUCUUAUAGAUUCUUGCUCCAAGAUUCUCAAGUACUUUGUUCUUGUGGAUUUAAACCUCAUUUUAAUGACUUUGAACUUUGAAUUGCUAUUGCUUGCAUAUAAUCUUCAAUAAACAGCUUGCUUGCUUAUACUCUGUGGCUCAAUGUGGUUUUAAGGUGCCCUGCAGCCUAGCGGUGCAACACCUGUCAGUGUUUUUGUUGUUAUAGUGUGAAAGGUUCAAUCAAUUGUUGCUGUUGGAUUGUGUCUAUGUGUUCCGGCAAGCUUUCCAACAACACAGGAGUUAAUUACAUGCCAGCCCUGAUUGAUUGCCUGCAGGGCCAAUGGGUCAAGACUUCCAUUUCAACUGUGUGGACGGAACAUUCAUCAUGAACUGUGGAAUGUUGGGAGGUGCCUGCUAGCACUGAUAACAGACUCGGCUAACUGAGGAUGCGCCAUGCUUUGCCCUUGCCGAGGAAAGGUCCAGAGAGUGAUGGCAUUUAGUAUUGUAUAUAGUCAGUAAAUAAACGUAUAGUACUGCUGGGAUCAGCAGAUAAUUUACGACUGAGCUGUCAUUUGUUGGUGUCACUUUGCCGAUGCUUAAGUGGUCUGACUGAUGAGAAGAAGGUGAGACCUGACCCAUCAAUAAGUCAGGGCGACGAUUUAUCCCUGACAACACCCUUGUCCUUUUGCGAAGUCACGGGCUUCUUUCUAAGGCAUGAGAUUUCUCCACUGAACAUAAGCAAUGUCCAAGACAAAAUGUAGACCUGUUUCUGAUGAAGAAGCUGAUAGAGCCUUGAAAGCUUGUAUCAUGUGUUUUGUGCAGUUUGGUUGCCCAAUGAAGUUAUGACUCUUUUGAGGUAUUUGUUUCUUUUGAUGCAUGGCCAACAUGGCUAUCUCUGAAUAUUUUUCCUGGAAGAAAAAAAGUUGAUAAAGCAAUAAAUAAAAUGCAGGCAAUUAACAGAAUUUGAAGAACUAGUAAUACAGUUAAAACAGAUGAAGUAACAAAAGAACUAAUAAGUAAAAUUUAUAAAAUAAUGAUAGAAAGUGAUCCAAUACAAUUCUGAACAAAAAAAAUGGGAAAUCAAUAUUACAGAAUGGUUAAAUAUUUAGAAACAAAGAAUUAUAAAAAAUAUGACUGUGAGAAUUAAAAGAGAAUUGUUACAAAACAAUUUGUAAAUGGUAAAUGACUCCAAUAAAGUUAUUAUAAUAGAAACAAUCCAUAAAAUUGUUGGAGGUGCAGUAAGGAAACUGGAACUUAUAUACAUUUAUGAUGGACAUGUGAAAAGAUUUAAAAAUUGGGGAAAGUAUUUGUUGAAAUUGAUGUCAUACUGUCAAUUAAUCUACACAAAAAUCCAAAUAUAGCACUUCUAUUAGAUUUUAGAGAUAUAAGAUCAAAAUGGCAAAAGAAAGAAUUAAUAGUAAUUUUUGUUACUGGUCUAAGAUUGUUUAUAGCCAAAAAUUUGAAAGGAAAUUAUUAAUAUAAAAUUGAUGAUUGAUACAAAGAUGUGAGGAACAUCACACUGACUAGUGAAAUAAAAUGCAAAAAGGAAUUAAUGAAAAGAAAUGAUUUUGAGACAAUAUAGGGUGAAUUCUUGGAAUAUCUAUUUGUCAAAAAAGGAAUAAAACCAAAUUAACAUAUAUUAGCAUUUUGAGAAGAGGUCAGUAUAAGAAUUAUUAAUAUUAAGGAUGAAUAAAUGUCCCAUGGGUGGCUGGUGCACAUAACGAUUAAAUGUAUACAGUAUAUAAUUAAUUGUUUAACUGAUUUAUUGAAUGUUUUGUGUUAAUGUUAGUUGUGUGUGAUUUGUAUAAUUUAUUUAUUAUAAAUAAAUUAAAACUUUAAAAUGUUAUUUUAUUUGGCUCAUAGGAUCAUUAAAAUAGAUCCAGCAAAAAAACCAUUAAAACAAACUAAUAAAACCAUUUAACGGUUAUUGAGAAUCCUCUCUUAAGGUUUUGUUCUAAAAAUAAUUUUGUAGUUUUGCAGCUCUUGAGUAACUUUCUUCACAAGUCUAGAGAGACCAGCUUAUAUAUAGGUGGUGCCAUGUUAAAUACAUAAAUAAUAUGUACAGCCAGAACACUGGCUUUUUUCCCCAAGUCCUCCAGCUAAUAUAAAAGCUCAAAAAGGCAUAUUUUUCUGAUAGAUAAACUUUAAAUUUCUAUGCCUGCUUCUUUGUACAGACUUAAUUCUGGCAUGAUACAAAGACCUGUUGUCUAGUCAUUCUCUCCCUUCUCUGUUUGGCUGAAAAAGAAGCUACUGUACUUCAGGAGUGUGGUACUUUUCCAUGCCUUGUAUCCCAAGGCAUUCCACUUCACAGUAAGAAAUCCAUUAAAACAGAAUCCAUUUUUCUUACAAGCACACAGAACAACUCAGCAUCUGAUAACCAAUAGCUAUAAAUCUGCUCAACAAAUAAAUAAGGUAUUUGCCAUUCCAGCAUGUUUUGCUCUCAUACCCUUUGACCUCUCUCUGGAAGUGGUGCUAAGUGCUAUAUUUCCUUCCUGGAGACUAUUAACAGUCUAACUUGGAAUAGAUGUUGUUCUUGUGCCAUGAAUUGUAUAACCAUUGUCUAUAAUAAUUGUCCAAAAGAUCUACUCUGCAUUACCUCCAUAACUAUAUCACUUUUACAGCGAUCUCAUUUUAUGCCAGAUAUGAAAUCAUGUUUAAAGGCUGAGCAUUUAGUUUCUACCAGAAUGAGCACCAUUGUUCCCUUUCUACUCAGUUAUUAUAUCAAAUACUCAAGCACUGAGACAAUGCAAUAUUAUUCACAAACAUGGUAUAAAGUCAAAGAUUAUCUGAAAUUCUAUAAAUAAGAUACAGGAUUGCAGAGUGAUUGCAGAUGUAUAAAUAAAAUGGGUGAGGGGCUAUAAGAUGUGCAGUCAUACAUUGCGAUCCUAAAUGUGUUUACUAAGUUACUGCAACUUCUUAUUUACUCCACAAAUAAUGAAAGAUCUUAACCCCAGAGUUGAAAUAUUAGCUGAUGAAGAAGUCAGCAUCCACGUAGGUUAAUCAUUCAUAUAUAUUGUGCAACUAAGUGAUGGAUAAUCAGUGAAAGUGUUCUGGUUUUUGCAGGCAAACUAACCAACUUUUUAAAAGGUAAUUUUAUGGUUUUGUCGAGCUGCAAAAGGGCUAGGGGUUGCAUGAAGUUUACCAGACAAACUUCCUUCACUCCUGCUUUACAGCUAAGGUAAUUGAACUGAAGAAGACAAGGGAUGUCAUCAUAUUGAGGUCUACAUGGUGGACGAAAGCAGGGAGAUUCGCCAUGCAUCGUGGCAAAUCCAGCAGGCAGCGUCGAAAACCUGUCGGCCCAAGCCCCACAUCACCUACAUCGCUCACAUAACCCCUUACCUGGAAGGGGAAGCAUUGCCAUCCAGUCCGCCCCGCCCCCUUUCAUUCUUUUCAAUGAGAACAUGGGAAGGCUUGUUAUGUGCCUGAUAAACAUUUAGCUCAACAUAAAGGUAGCUCUUUAUGACGAGAAGAUGGUUUAGGCAGCACUAAAGAUUCUUUAGGUCCUAUGAGGCUGUGCAGACCUGUAAAAAAGGAGAUGGGCUCCAAAUAAAUCAAGAUGGAAAUAGAUUGCUUUUAUGAAAUAUGAAAAAACUGACAAAGCUGACAAAGUAUCCCAGUUACAACCAAGAAGUAAAAUGUCCCAAUAUGUGAGGUGACUGUGUCUCAAAACCACUGCUCAUAAAAUUGACUACAAUGCUAUCAAAUUUAUUUCUAUCUUGCAUGGGCCUACUCAAAACCACAUUAAGAGAGGCUCAGAUAUCAUGUAUACCACAGGUCUAAACAGGAUGUGAAAUGUCCAAGUGCCAUGAAUAGUGUGAAAUAAGCUAUUAGAGGUUUAUAACUUAAUAAUUUUAUUUUUAUACCCCACCUCUAUCUCCCAAAGGGGACUCAGGGCGGCUUACAUGGGGUCAAGCCAGAAUAAAAACAAUAGCAAUAUAAAACACAACAAUAGACAAGAGACAUGCACAAUUAUAAAAAUUUAAACAUUACCCAAUAAAAAACAAAUGACAAGAACUAAUAAAAACAUGGAUUAAAAUGGAGAGGUUGUAAAAGUAGACUGGGUAAGGUGCACCAUAUAAAUAUUAUAAACUUGAGGAGACUGAUAAAGUGCUGCAAAUUCUUGGAAGUGCAAAUUGAGAUGGGAGUAGACCCUGUGUCUAUAUCAAGUUGACAAAGGUAAAAAAAAGUGCAAACUGGUACAAGGAUGGUCACAGGUACAGGAUUGUUAUGGGUAUGAACAAUCUUUAUCCAAAGGCCUGAGUGAAGAGCCAGAUUUUCAAGCUCUUUCUGAAUGCUACCAGGGUGGGGGCUUUAAAAAGGUUUCUUUUAAAACUGGAAGUCUUCCUGAAAUCAAGUGAACUUACCAGAGAAGAAAUGCACAAAAUGCACAAAAUGCUUUUGAGGAAUAUAUUGCUAAUAGCUCCACAAUCAACAAUAAAUAAUUCUUUAAAUACACCACAAGCACAAAUACUGCCAAUGAGACAGUUAAAUCUUUGAAUAUCAAUGGAUUUAAAGAAAUUAUGAAGACACUGUUGAGAAACUCUUGAAUUCUUUUCAUCUGUCUUUAUUGGUGAAAAUAAAGGGGAAAUCCAUGUGCACUGAUGAAAAAUGUUAAGUGGGGACAGGAAAGUGCAAGGCAAAUAGCCAUGAUAAGACAGAGGUUUCAAGAUCUCAUUGCCAAAUUACAAGCAUACAGAUCAUCAGGUCCAGAUGACAUUUACCCAAUAGUUCUUAAAGAGCACAAAUGUGAAAUUCCUUAUCUUCUACUUAGAUAAAUCACAUCUCCCCUGAUUCAGAGCAUGAUUAACAUAACACCUAUUUGUUUGUUUAUUAAAGAAAUCCAGGAAGCCAAAGGCCUUUUAGCUUAAAGUUUUGUUAAGUGAAAAGUGCUGUUAAGGAUAAGAUUUUCAAGUGAACGAAAGAGCAAUUCCUUUUCAUCAAUUCCUAAUAUUCAGACUAGUUAUGUAACAUCUUAAGUAUCAGAGCAGUGUGUUUUGUAUAUCAGUUCUGAAGAUUUCAAGAUGUCUUUCUAGUGGGCUUCACAUAGGCAAUAUAUUAUAUACUAUGUGUACAAAAGAUUGGACUGGAUAGACUGUUCAUCUGAUCUAACAUGCUCAUCUUAUGUCCUUAUGUCCACAAAGUAUAGUGGUGUCACAUUAAGCCUACUAAUGUUAGGAAAAAUAUAGAAAUCAUUGAGUUGCAAACAUUAAAGCAGUUGUGUGGGGGAGGGUGACAAUAUCAUUGGGAACAGUAGUUUAUCAAGGCCCAGAGUGAACAGCCAAAAGGCUAAAGAGAGGUUUGGACAAAUACAACAAGUACCAAGCAGCAAGAGGGCAAUAAUCUCAAAUUAACAGCUAAGGCAAAUGUCCCACAAGCUUAGAUUUCUUUAAUGCCCAGAGCAUGGGAAAUAAACAAGAUGAGCUGGAACUCUUAGCAUGACAAACAGUUACACAUAACUGAAACCUGGUGGGACAAGUCCUAUAAUUGGAAUGUAGCACUGAGAGGGAUAACUUAUUUCAUAGAAAUAGACUAAACAGGAGACGGGUAGAGUAGCAUUACAUGUCAAAAAUAUGUACACCUAUGAAGAGAUGCAAGACUUCAAUCCUGCAAACCAGAUUGAGAGCAUCUGGAUAAGAAUUAAGGGAAGAAGGACUGAAAAAGAUGUAGUUGUGGGGGUCAACUACAGAUAUCCAAGCAAGACAGAAGAACUGGAUGAAGCCUUCCUUGACCAGAUGACCAAACAUGAAGAAAAGAUAUAGUAGUAAUGGGGGAUUUUAACUACUCUGAUAUUUGUUAGAAAGCAAACUUUGCCAAGCGUACAAAAUUCAACAAGUUCCUCACUUGCCUUGCAAACAAUUUUAUUGUCCAGAAGAUAGAAGAGGUAAUAAGGGGAUCUGCUAUUCUGGAUCUGAUCCUAACCAACACAGAGGAUCUGGAUAAAAGAGAAAAUACCCAAGAUAAAAUAGAAUACGUAGGGAUCCUCCACAGACAUGUAAGUUCUAAACUCAUUUAAUUCAUAUUAUUUUGAGUUUGUAUAUAUAUUGUAUAUAAGACAGUGUUGGGGUAUUUUUAACAUGUCUAUUUUCAGUAUGGUUUAUAUUAUUAUGGUCCUAUUAAAAAUACUAGAAAGUUUUUUCUCUUUAUUUUUAUAAUAAGAAAUGAGAAAGCAGAGCAAUACUACAACCUGCCCCAAGUAAACAAAGGAAACCUAAAGAUACGACAUAUAUUACCUGAGGAAGAUCCAUCGAAACUGGACAUAUACCCAGGAAACCAGUCGUAAUCGACCAUAUUGUAUUGACCACACCAUCUCCGGGACCCACAACUGACCAUAUUAUCUCUGGUACUCACCAGUGAAUGUUUCACCAUUAAGGAAGAAUGAUCGACUAUACAAACUCUGGAAUCUACCAGUGAGCUCCCUCCAUCAUGGAGUAAAUCCACUUUGUUAUCAUUUAUACGAGGAAUUUAUACUGUAUUUUAUUUACCCUGAAUGAUUUCACCUUGAACAAUACUACUACAGAUCUUGAGAAUAUUAUCAAGAUAACGAUUGGACUGUUUCGAUAAUAAACUUUUUUUUUCGUGUCAGGAGUGACUUGAGUAACUGCAAGUCGCUUAUGGUGUGAGAGAAUUGGCCGUCUGCAAGCACGUUGCCCAGGGGACGCCCGGAUGUUUUGAUGUUUUUCCAUCCUUGUGGGAGGCUUCUCUCAUGUCCCUGCAUGGAGCUGGAGCUGAUAGAGGGAGGUCAUCCCCGCUCUUCCCGGGUUGGAUUUGAACCUGGCAGCCUUCAGGUCAGCAACCCAACCUUCAAGUCACAAGGCUUUAAUCCACUAUGCCACCAGGGGCUCCAACAAAUAUAUGAGUUUAUACUGGAUUUAAGACUAAAGACUGAAUUGGCUUUAAUCCGAAUUCAAAUCCAAUGUGAUGUUAACACUAUUCGUUAUUACUAUAUUGUAUAUAUACAGUCUGAGGGUUGAAUAAAUCCACCUGGACACUAUAUAUACAGGUUACCUAUACUGUAUUAUACUUUGCUUGUAUCGAUAGCAUUAUUAAGUUUAAGAUUAUUUGGAUUAACGACAGGAAUGGAGUUAAGGUCAAUUACCGGGUUAAUUUAAACCCAAUUCAGACCCGAGAUGGUUUAAAACAGUAGUUAUUCAUCUAUACAGUAUUUUAUAUAAUAGUUGAUGUUACAAACGCAACAUAUAAGUGAUUACAUUACAAUAGAAGUGUAUAACAACAACAUAACUUACUUUGUAUUAUAUACCAUACUUUUCCUUUUUUUUUUUUUUUUUGCUGUGUAUAAUAGACAUCUGUGUGCUUAGCUUUGAUCUUUAAAGCCCUAUGUGGUUUGUGUCCAGGUUACCUAAAGGAUCCCCUUCUUCCGUACAACCCACCCCUCACACUGAAGUUCUCUGGGGGGCAUCUUUCUCAGCCUGCCUGAACCUGACUGGUGAUCGUCACCCAGAGGACCUUUCCAUCAGCCAUCCCAAGACUUUGGAGCAACCUGUCAGAACUCCAACAGCUAAAUCAGCUGUCAGAAUUUUAAAACCAUUUAAAGACCUAUCCCUUCUGAUAGGCCUAUCCAACUGGUUUUAAGCAUGAAUUUUAAACUCAAGUCUUGUGUUUAAUCUCUGUUCCAUGUAUUUUAAUACGUAUUUUAUGGAAAUACAUUUUAUUAUGUACAUUUAUAGAAAUACACUUUAAUAUGUAUAUAUAUAGAAUUUUAACAAUAUUUAUAUGUUUUAAUGAUGUUGUAGCCUGCCACGAGCCACGAAGAGACUUGGUAAGAAAUAAAAUUGUUUUUGUUGUUGUUGUUGUUGUUGUUGUUGUUGUUGUUGUUGUUGUUAUUUGAGCCAACAUAAAUGAGAAAAGAUAAUGAAAGUGAUAGAUUUAACUCUAUUUUGAUAAGACAUACAUAAGCAGAAACUUCAUGAGAUAGCAUAGUAGACUGAAGUAUGUCAGUCUCCAAUAUCCAUUCCUUCAUUUUAAGAAAAAUGCACAUUUGAGGGGGUAACAUUUCCACAACACAUUUAAAAAAAUAAAAUAAAUCGGUAAUAACGCUUGACAGGAUUUGAAACAAGAUAAUUUUACCAUCUUGAAAAUGUUAUUUGGACAGUGAAAUGUUUUCCCCCUUUCACACAUUUAUUUGAUUGAAUAUUUUUCAUAAUAUUGUGCUGUCUCCCUCCAAACUAAAGAGUUUUCCAGAUUAGACUUAACUAACUAUAUGUGCAUGUAUAUAAAGUCAACUAUCUAAAAGAGCUACACUGGUAAAUGUGGACUUCAGGGUAAUCAAUUGCAUUAAUCAUUAGAAUAGGAAUUUCAAAUGUUAUCUUUGCUAAGAUCACAGUAGGAUCUAUAUGUGUUCUUAGAAAAUUGUAAAACACCGUAAUAAUCCAUUCUUCAUGUCUCUUGGUAAAGGCUGGAUCCAAUGUUAAAUUUGGGGCUGUGUGUUUCUGGUACAUUUGCAAAUGUUCAGAAGCCAAGGAAUCAUUCAUAUAGAUUAAACUACAGUCAAAUGCUAACAUGUGAACCCUUUGUCCAUUGAGCAAGUUUGUUUAGCAUUUUCUUCUUUUUUUAUCUAAAAUACUUAAUAAUGCAUUAGAUGCCCAAAGUUUCAAAAGAAUAUAUUUGAGCUUUCCUCUUUGGCUUCAUCUGUGGCUCCUGAUGGGCAAUGCAUCAUCCAAACACAUUACAGAAAUUAGGCCUUGCAUUCCAUUAUGCAUUCAGACAUUUAGAGCAGAAUGAUAAACCUGUCUGAACCUCUGGAGGUUGGCUUUAUAAAUCAAUGCUCUCAGUAAAAAGAUUGCAUUCCCAUUUGAUAGCAUUGGACUUCCACAUCUUCCUUCUCUCUGGCCUUUGAAAAAGUUUCAUUUGAGAUAGAAAGUUCAACUGUUUUAAUGAGGAAAGGUGGAGCUAAACCAACAAGAAAGGGAUAUGAGGUGAACAUUUUCGUCUCUCUGCUCAGGUUGCCUGAUUCAAUAUGAGCAAGAGAGAGAUGUAGGUCAGGAAUACUAUAAUUGUAGGGUCUAUUGUAGCUGUCAUUGGAAGGGAUUUGAAUCAGAAAAAGAAUGGCAAGAAUCAGGUCUGUAUUUCACUUAAUUCCUCGCAUUUGCAACUUUAAGUUCUUUUUGUUCUAUUCCUAUAAAAGAAAGUUAACAGGAAAUGCACAUGCAUUCUUGGAGACUUUUUUCUAAUAUGCUCAUGUGUGCUUUCAGUUUCUUAAUAGACACAUACAACCAAUUCCUUCAGAUAUAAUGCAUUUUUGUGGAUUUCUGCAUUGUUGUAUGCCAUAUUAGGCAGGAGAACGGCAUCAUCCCAUGCAGAAAGGUGGAAAUAUCAAAAUGUGCCGUGUUCUUUAAAAAUGUAUCAUAUUUAUUGUAUUUUUAAAUACAUUGAAAGUGUAUGUUAUAAAUUGUUUUAAUAUGGUUAACAGUUUGAUUCUGUUUUAAUGUUGAUUCUUGUGUGUUUAUUAAUUAUAUUGUACUCAUUUUAAUUUGUAAAUUUCUUUGAUGAUUUCAUCACAUGCAGAAAAUCAGCAUUUCUACACAUUUAAGAAAUGGAAACCCAUGGUGCUCUUCCCACAACACAAGCUUCAACUGUAGGGUUGAGGUAUUUUGUUAUUUCUAAAGUAUUGGUUUAUCCAAUGAUUCCUAAGCCAGUUAGCAAUUUACUUAUUUUUAAAUUCCCCGCAUAAAGACAGGCAAAAUGGCCAAUUUCCCUAUGUGAUGUCAAUUCCUGUUGCCUGCUUAUAAAUAAAACAAUGAUGCUGUGUGUGGGUAGAGCCAACAUGCACAUUUCCACAGAAUGCCAAUGCAGACACUUGGGGAAAGAUCAGGGUUAAUUUAAAACCACUUCCUAUGAUCCAGAGUGAUUUUUUUU